rnacentral:pre_miRNA from 1 species
UUUGUUGCAACAUUGCUUCUUUAUUUUUCGAAAUAAAUAUGUCAGGUUUUGAAAAAUAAAGAAGCAAUGUUGCAACAAG